rnacentral:rRNA from 1 species
CCGGAGAUAGCUGGUACUCCUCGAAAUAGCUUUAGGGCUAGCCUCAGGCUGAGAUUUAGGGAGGUAGAGCACUGAAUAGGCUAGGGGCCUUCACGGGUUACCGAACCUUCUCAAACUGCGAAUGCCGUAAAUCAUGCCUGGGAGUCAGACCGUGGGUGCUAAGAUUCAUGGUCGAGAGGGAAACAGCCCAGACCGCCGGCUAAGGUCCCAAAAUCCGGGCUAAGUGGAGAAGGAUGUGGAGCUGCCCAGACAACCAGGAUGUUGGCUUAGAAGCAGCCAUCAUUCAAAGAGUGCGUAAUAGCUCACUGGUCGAGUGGCUCUGCGCCGAAAAUGUAACGGGGCUCAAGCCCGGUACCGAAGCCGCGGAAUUGAGAGGUGAGAGGUGAGAGGUUAGAAGUGGGAGAUGACAAGAUCAGAAGUUUUGAAGACCUGGUGGUCUAUCAAAAAGGAUAUGAGCUUGUGCUAAAGUCUUACCAGCUAACAGCCACCUUUCCUAUGAGCGAGAGGUAUGAGUUGGGGCAUCAGAUCAGAAAAGCAGCUGUUUCUAUCCCAGCGAACAUUGCCGAGGGGUAUGGAAGAAAGGAUUCCAAAAAGGAAUUCAGACAUUUCUUGAGAAACGCUCUUGGCUCAGCAAAUGAGAUGAUGGUUCUACUGAAGCUGAGCAAAGACCUUGGCUACAUGGCAGAUGACAGUCUCAUCGCUGAAUACGAUGUCCUGGGAAAACAACUCUUUAAGCUGAUAGCAAGGUGGAAGUAAGAUCCCACUUCCCACUUCCCACAUCUCACUUCUCAGUUGGUAGGGGAGCGUUCUGCAGGCUGAGAAGCCGCACCGCAAGGUGUGGUGGAGCCUGCAGAAGUGAGAAUGCCGGUAUAAGUAAGCGAGAAGGCAGGUGAGAAUCCUGCCCGCCGGAAGCCUAAGGUUUCCUGGGGAAGGCUCGUCCGCCCAGGGUAAGUCGGGACCUAAGCCGAGGCCGUAAAGGCGUAGGCGAUGGACAAUCGGUGGAAAUUCCGAUACCACCCGGAAGCCGCUUGCAGCGAUGGGGAACACAGGAGGGUAGGCCGAGCGGGCCGUUGGUCGUGCCCGUCCAAGCCGGUAGGGCGGUAGAGAGGCAAAUCCCUCUACCAGAAAGCCCGAGAAGCGAGUGCGAGGGAAAUCAAGUACCGAAGCGGUCGAUCCCAUACUGGCGAGAAAAACCCCUAGUGAGGCUUUCAGGUGCCCGUACCGCAAACCGACACAGGUAGGCAAGGAGAGAAUCCUGAGGCGCGCGAGAGAACCCUCGUUAAGGAACUCGGCAAAGUGACCCCGUAACUUCGGGAGAAGGGGUGCCCUGAUAGGGUGAGGAAGACCUGCUCUUCCGAGCCCGAGAGGGUUGCAGAGAAGAGGCCCAAGCGACUGUUUACCAAAAACACAGGUCCCUGCCAAAGCGAAAGCUGACGUAUAGGGG